rnacentral:rRNA from 1 species
UUCGCCGCCCGUCGGUGUCAACUGGCAUGUCCUGUGGAACGUCCUGCCGGUGGCGGACCGGGCUUUCGGCUUGCGUAAGGGCUUACGCUCGAAGCAGGCCGAACAGUACCGGCCGCCGGUCCAAUCCCGCCACGGUGCUCUUCACCGAGUGUCGAGGUGGGCCGGCACGUUUACUUUGAACAAAUUAGAGUGCUUAAAGCAGGCUGGUGUCCGCCUGAAUACUGUGUGCAUGGAAUAAUAGAAUAGGACCUCGGUUCUAUUUUGUUGGUUUUCGGAACCCGAGGUAAUGAUUAAUAGGGACAGGCGGGGGCAUUCGUAUUGCGACGUUAGAGGUGAAAUUCUUGGAUCGUCGCAAGACGAACCUAAGCGAAAGCAUUUGCCAAGUAUGUUCUCGUUAAUCAAGAACGAAAGUUAGAGGUUCGAAGGCGAUCAGAUACCGCCCUAGUUCUAACCAUAAACGAUGCCAGCCAGCGAUCCGCCGAAGUUCCUCCGAUGACUCGGCGGGCAGCUUCCGGGAAACCAAAGCUUUUGGGUUCCGGGGGAAGUAUGGUUGCAAAGCUGAAACUUAAAGGAAUUGACGGAAGGGCACCACCAGGAGUGGAGCCUGCGGCUUAAUUUGACUCAACACGGGAAACCUCACCAGGCCCGGACACCGGAAGGAUUGACAGAUUGAGAGCUCUUUCUUGAUUCGGUGGGUGGGUGGUGGCAUGGCCGUU